GACCUCAAAUCAGGUAGGACUACCCGCUGAACUUAAGCAUAUCAAUAAGCGGAGGAAAAGAAACUAACAAGGAUUCCCCUAGUAACUGCGAGUGAAGCGGGAAAAGCUCAAAUUUAAAAUCUGACAGUCUUUGGCUGUCCGAGUUGUAAUCUAGAGAAGUGUUAUCCGCGCUGGACCGUGUACAAGUCUCCUGGAAUGGAGCGUCAUAGAGGGUGAGAAUCCCGUCUUUGACACGGACUACCAGGGCUUUGUGAUGCGCUCUCAAAGAGUCGAGUUGUUUGGGAAUGCAGCUCAAAAUGGGUGGUAAAUUCCAUCUAAAGCUAAAUAUUGGCGAGAGACCGAUAGCGAACAAGUACCGUGAGGGAAAGAUGAAAAGAACUUUGGAAAGAGAGUUAAACAGUACGUGAAAUUGCUGAAAGGGAAACGCUUGAAGUCAGUCGCGUUGUCCAGGGAUCAACCUUGCUUUUGCUUGGUGCACUUUCUGGUUGACGGGUCAGCAUCAAUUUUGACCAUUGGAAAAAGAUUAAGGGAAUUGUGGCAUCUUAGGAUGUG
rnacentral:rRNA from 1 species